rnacentral:tRNA from 1 species
GCCGAAAUGGUGGAAUGGCAGACGCGGCGGACUCAAAAUCCGCAGAUGAUUAUCAUCGUGUGGGUUCAAGUCCCACUUUCGGCACCA